AACCAGAGAGAUCGAACUGAAAGAAAGAGUCUACCUGUGUCCUCGAAUGUCAGACUGGUCACACACUCCUCCAAGUGCAAUCCUGUGGAACUCUCGACCAAGAGUUUUGGCCACUGAUCUUCCCACACUUGUUUUACCAACUCCAGGAGGGCCAACAAAGCAAAGAAUAGGGCCCUUCAGGUUGUUUUUCAGCUGUCUGACGGCCAGGUAUUCCAGCACUCUUUUCUUCAAUUUUUCCAUAGCAUAAUGAUCAUUAUCCAGAAGAAUCCGGGCUGCUCGAAUGUCCAGACGGUCUGUCAACCCCAGAAGUAAGCACAUAAAAAUUUAAAAUGGAACAAGUCCUUUCAAGGCUGGCAAGAAUCAAAAUACAUUUUAGAAAAAAAACGUGACAAGAACGGAAGUGGAUCUUUCUAAAUGAAUCUUCAAGGAGACCUGGACUUGGCUUUUUUGCUUAAGAUGAUUUACUAUUAACCGAAAUAAUGUAUUAAUUCUAGAAAAUCCAAUGACACCAAUAAAAAAGAAAAAAACAGUCAUCUAUAAUCAUGUCCUCAAGAGAGCAUCCUUACCUUCACUCUGGUCUAAACCAACAAAUCUCACAGAACAUGACCACUUCACUUGAAAAGCAGAUACUGGGGCUUUAGUAAUUAACAGAAGACUACUGGAACCAAAAUGGACUUCCCAACAGCUCAGCUCAAUCAGGAUCCAUAGCUGACCUCAAACUGGUCAGGUGACAUGAUGAGGGGCCAAUUCAAUGGGAACAAACUUGGGCUCUCCUGCAUUCAUUUCACACUAUGGAAUUUCCAAAAAGGAUUUUGAAUAAAGAAUUAAA